rnacentral:rRNA from 1 species
UGUGGUCUGCAACCCGACCACACGAAGCUGGAAUCGCUAGUAAUCGCGAAUCAGAAUGUCGCGGUGAAUACGUUCCCGGGUCUUGUACACACCGCCCGUCACACCAUGGGAGUCAGCAACGCCCGAAGUCAGUGACCUAACCAUAAAGGGAGGAGCUGCCGAAGGCGGGGCCGGUAACUGGGGUGAAGUCGUAACAAGGUACC